GGUUGUCCAUGAUGGAGACCGACAACAACAACGGGCCGCUGCUAUGGAAAUGACCGGAAUGCACGACGGGAGGUGUAGUGCACUACACCCGGAAGUCGAUGCCAUCGCUGACUGUCAGAACCUGAGCAGGACUUUCUGGGGAAAAUCUUCGGCAUUAACCUUUGACCCCACUGCUGGACUUCCUCCGCACCACCUUACCAUCUUCUUCUUGAGCUCUGAUGAUGAUGGAAGGAGAAUAAAAGGUGGAAACCAGAGUCCCUGAAGAAACCCUUCAAUCUCCAUACAGGAAGACCAACAGUCGACCAGGGAUCCACACAGUGCUCUUCUUGCUGUAAGGUAAAGGCACAAACCACUCUUCCACCACAUCGCCCUGCAUAAUAAAUGGAUAUAUAUCUUUCUUAUAGAAUUUGUUUUCCAUGUUGGCAUACACUUGAUUUGUCUUCCUUUUAUGGAUAUUUGACCCAAGAUCAUUUCAUGUUGACCCUGCACCCGGGUGUUUGUACGAGUCGCUGACAGACAUGAACAACAGGGCUGUUUGAGCACAGAGAGGGUCAGACCAGGAGGUGAGAGGGGUCUUAAGGACGUGUGUGCGUGAUUGUAGUUGUUUACGCUGGUAAAUGAGCUGCACCGACCAGGUCUCUGUUUGAUUCCUCCACAACAUCUCUGCUAGGAAGUGUUUUGCACAAAGACAUCUGUUUUCCAAACCUUGUAAUGAGGCACCUUAAGCCUUGGGUUAGAAAUGAUUUUCAGCCUGCGCUCUCGCACAGACACAAAUAAACAUGUCCACACUCUCCACACGUGCUGGCAUCUCUCAUGGCUUGUUUUUCCUUUGGGAUGCUAAUCUUUUUGGGGUUUCUUUUUCAAGAAAAACCUUUUACAGGCAGCCCUUAUAGUCCUGUCGUAGCCUCUGCGUGUAUAUUUGUGUGCCACAGCGAUGCAUGUUUAUGUAAUAAUGUACCAAAGAAGCCCUGGCAGUUUAUUAGUUUCUGUCUCUGCAUCUGUUGGAUGUUUGUUGUGCUAUAUUUAGCUUUUACAUCCCUGUGUCUGAAAUUAGCCCCCGCCACGGUGAGGCUAAUUCUGGGAAAUAUAUGCUAAAAUAAGUUCCACAUAAAACUCAUUCCCUGGUUUCCGCUCCCCCGGCUCUCUCUGAUCACGCUGUUGUAACCUGCUAAUCACAAGCAGCCUGGCAGCGUGCUGGUCGUAGCCCACUAUGUUUAGUGUUUACA